rnacentral:rRNA from 1 species
CGGAACUUCGGGUUUAGUGGCGGACGGGUGAGUAACGCGUGAGAAUCUGCCUCUAGGUCGGGGACAACAACUGGAAACGGUUGCUAAUACCCGAUGUGCAGCAAUGUGAAAGAUUUAUUUGCCUAGAGAUGAGCUCGCGUCUGAUUAGCUAGUAUGUGUGGUAAUGGCGCACCUAGGCGACGAUCAGUAACUGGUCUGAGAGGAUGACCAGUCACACUGGGACUGAGACACGGCCCAGACUCCUACGGGAGGCAGCAGUGGGGAAUUUUCCGCAAUGGGCGAAAGCCUGACGGAGCAAUACCGCGUGAGGGACGAAGGCUUUUGGGUCGUAAACCUCUUUUCCCUGAGAAGAAGAUCUGACGGUAUCAGGGGAAUCAGCAUCGGCUAACUUCGUGCCAGCAGCCGCGGUAAUACGAGGGAUGCAAGCGUUAUCCGGAAUUAUUGGGCGUAAAGCGUCCGCAGGUGGCUCUGUAAGUCUGUCGGUUAAGAAUGGGGCUCA